GGGGCCGCAAGCGCAGUGAUGGAGAGAGCACCGACCAGGGCGAGUCUGAUCGCCGCGCGUCGGCGAGCGGGGGUUCGAGUCCUCCCGGCCCCA
rnacentral:tRNA from 1 species